ACGGCUCAGUAACACGUGGACAACCUACCCUCAGCACGGGGAUAAACCCGGGAAACUGGGUAUAAUACCCGAUAGUUCUGGGAUGCUGGAAUGCUUCCAGGACGAAAGCUCCGGCGACUGAGGAUGGGUCUGCGGCCUAUCAGGUAGUAGUGGGUGUAAUGUACCUACUAGCCUACGACGGGUACGGGUCGUGAGAGCGAGAGCCCGGAUAUGGAUUCUGAGACACGAAUCCAGGCCCUACGGGGUGCAGCAGGCGCGAAACCUUUACAAUGCUGGCAACAGCGAUAAGGGGACCUCGAGUGCCAGGAUACAAUCUUGGCUGUCGUGAUGCCUAAAAAGCAUUACAUAGCAAGGGCCGGGCAAGACCGGUGCCAGCCGCCGCGGUAACACCGGCGGCUCGAGUGGUAACCGCUAUUAUUGGGUCUAAAGGGUCUGUAGCCGGCCGGAUAAGUCUUUUGGGAAAUCCAGCUGCUCAACAGUUGGGCUUUCAGAAGAUACCGUUCGGCUCGAGGCCGGGAGAGGUGAGAGGUACUUCAGGGGUAGGGGUGAAAUCUUGUAAUCCUUGAAGGACCACCAGUGGCGAAGGCGUCUCACCAGAACGGUCCUGACGGCAAGGGACGAAAGCUAGGGGCACGAACCGGAUUAGAUACCCGGGUAGUCCUAGCCGUAAACGAUACUCGCUAGGUGUCAGCCACGGUGCGACCGUGGUUGGUGCCGUAGGGAAGCCGUGAAGCGAGCCACCUGGGAAGUACGGCCGCAAGGCUGAAACUUAAAGGAAUUGGCGGGGGAGCAC
rnacentral:rRNA from 1 species